UACGUAGGGGGCAAGCGUUGUCCGGAAUUAUUGGGCGUAAAGAGCUCGUAGGCGGCUUGUCGCGUCGGAUGUGAAAGCCCGGGGCUUAACUCCGGGUCUGCAUUCGAUACGGGUAGGCUAGAGUUCGGUAGGGGAGAUCGGAAUUCCUGGUGUAGCGGUGAAAUGCGUAGAUAUCUGGAGGAAUACCGGUGGCGAAGGCGGCAUCCUGGACCGACAUUGACGCUGAACGGCGAAAGCUAGGGGAGCAAACGGGG
rnacentral:rRNA from 1 species